rnacentral:other from 12 species
UCCCCGUGCGCAUUUAACCAGGAGCCUGCGCGGGAGCCAGUCCCGGGAGCGCCGCCGGCCGGUGCCCACCGCGCCAGGCCAUGCAGCGGCGGCCGCGGCGGAGAUCUGAGCGGCGGUAGCGCCCCCUGUGAGGUUGCCCUCAAUGCCCCAGGCACUGUGAACCGUGCCGUCAGCCGGGACACACUCAGCCCCGGAGACGCUCGGCUCUGCACGCCGGCGACCAGCACCGACUAGUCCGAAGGACCGGCGAGCGCGGGGAAGGCCGCUCGGCGCGGGCAGAGGAAGCCGACCGGUGCAGCGCGAGGACACGCACUUGGGCUGACUCGGGCUGGCACUG